GGGUUAGUGGUCUAGUGGUAUGAUUCUCGCUUUGGGUGCGAGAGGUCCGGGGUUCGAUUCCCCGCUAACCCC
rfam:Trichuris trichiura, WGS project CBXK01000000 data, contig: TTRE_1537